rnacentral:rRNA from 1 species
GACGAACGCUGGCGGCGUGCCUAAUACAUGCAAGUUGAGCGCUGAAGGUUGGUACUUGUACCAACUGGAUGAGCAGCGAACGGGUGAGUAACGCGUGGGGAAUCUGCCUUUGAGCGGGGGACAACAUUUGGAAACGAAUGCUAAUACCGCAUAAAAACUUUAAACACAAGUUUUAAGUUUGAAAGAUGCAAUUACAUCACUCAAAGAUGAUCCCGCGUUGUAUUAGCUAGUUGGUGAGGUAAAGGCUCACCAAGGCGAUGAUACAUAGCCGACCUGAGAGGGUGAUCGGCCACAUUGGGACUGAGACACGGCCCAAACUCCUACGGGAGGCAGUAGUAGGGAAUCUUCGGCAAUGGACGAAAGUCUGACCGAGCAACGCCGCGUGAGUGAAGAAGGUUUUCGGAUCGUAAAACUCUGGUGGUAGAGAAGAACGUUGGUGAGAGUGGAAAGCUCAUCAAGUGACGGUAACUACCCAGAAAGGGACGGCUAACUACGUG